AUACGUAGGGGGCAAGCGUUAUCCGGAUUUACUGGGUGUAAAUGGAGCGUAGACGGUAAAGCAAGUCUGAAGUGAAAGCUCGGGGCUCAACCCCGGAACUGCUUUGGAAACUGUUUUACUGGAGUGCAGGAGAGGUAAGCGGAAUUCCUAGUGUAGCGGUGAAAUGCGUAGAUAUUAGGAGGAACACCAGUGGCGAAGGCGGCCUGCUGGACGACAACUGACGCGGAGGCGCGAAAGCGUGGGGAGCAAACAGGAUUAGAUACCCUGGUAGUCCACGCUGUAAACGAUGAAUACUAGGUGUGGGGGGACUGACCCCCUCCGUGCCGCAGUUAACACAAUAAGUAUUCCACCUGGGGAGUACGAUCGCAAGAUUGAAACUCAAAGGAAUUGACGGGG
rnacentral:rRNA from 1 species